rnacentral:sRNA from 1 species
AGCGGAAUUCGUGAGACCUUUGCCUGUCAGGUAUUCUUUGCAUGACCUUUGUCAUGCAUGGGGUCUCCCGUAUUGGCUCCUGGCAAAUGUGAUUCUGUUCUCCAUGUGCGAACACACCAAAGCCUGCCUUGUCGCCCAAGCCUGUGGGGCCGGAAGCAGUAAAAGGAUCAAGCUAAGCCAACCAUCCUAUAAUCCUGAUACCAAUAUAUGUGUUCUGCAAAGAGUACAAUUAGUAAUGUUUCAAACUGGAAGACUCUGCAGGUAGCAGGUCCUGAUGCUGCACUUCUGGUCCAUCACUGAAAGCACAGGAAAAAGGAAAGCCUAGUAUGCCUGGCACUUCAGAAGGACAGAACGGCCCUUGUAGCCGGGUGGUCAAGGGGUUGUGUGGUCACCCACUUUGGCUUCUUUGUCUGAGGUUGCUGUCUGUUCUGUGUCUUGGAAUCUUUGAACUCUCACUGGUCGCCCACAGGCACUUUCCUCCUGCCUCUCCUUUCUGCCAGGCAUCCUUGGUGCACCAUUCUGAUUCCACUUAGAACUUGCUGGCUCGGUGAGAUAACAGAGAUUGGUACACUGGCUUCAGUGCUUCUGCUGGCUGGAGUCUAGGUGGAGUCUUUCCCUAUGACGUUCAUGCUUUGCUAUUCAACUCCCAUUACCUGGUUAGGUCACUUCCGACAGCUCAUACUCAUAAGCGUACUGGCAGGUGGUUCUUUGUGUGCAUGUGCAUGUACACAGUAACAUCCCUGAGAGGAAAUUUGCACAUAUGCAGAAGUACACGCUUUCUUCUCCAGGAACAUGAACUUUGGUAAGCACCCAACUUUCUUUGUCCUGGUUAUUUUCUUUCACUUGCUCAUCUCAGGUUGCACUUCUGACUCUGUACCUUAGCACCAACUGUGUUAGAACCACCCAGACAUCACUGAUUGACUAAAUGCCAAGACUCCCUUUCAGUUGCUCUCAUUAGGCCCAGGUAGGUCUUCAUACAAUCAGGUAUACAUGCUUGCCUACACAGCCGAAGUGCCAAUGAAGCCUGUCCCUGGUUGGGCCCAAAGACAUCCAAGACAGUCACCUGGAAGGCAGGAUCCCUCUGAGUGUCACCUGGUGCAAAUCCCCUAUGACAAAAUCAGAGAAUCUGCUCCAGGGAGAGAGCCAGAAUCCUCCCUCAGAGGCAGACGCACACCUUUGCCCCUCUAAACCCCACAGUCAGGGGCAUGACCCCAGAGGAAAGAAGGAAUUCACGUCAGGACUUUCAGCACACACCAUGGGGUAUCUUUGGCAGGACCGCUAUUGCCUAGACCCUGGACCCUGAAAACCAG